GGUAGCUAUGUUCGGAACGGAUACCCGCUGAAAGCAUCUAAGCGGGAAACUUGCCUCAAGAUGAGAUCUCACCGGGAGCUUGACUCCCCUAAAGGGCCGUCGAAGACUACGACGUUGAUAGGUUGGGUGUGUAAGCGCUGUGAGGCGUUGAGCUAACCAAUACUAAUUGCCCGUGUGGCUUGACC
rnacentral:rRNA from 1 species